GGAGGGUGCGAGCGUUGUCCGGAAUCACUGGGCGUAAAGGGCGCGUAGGCGGCGCAGUAAGUAGGGGGUGAAAUCUCAUGGCUCAACCGUGAAACGGCCUCCUAAACUGCUGUGCUUGAGCACGGUAGAGGCAGAUGGAAUUCCCGGUGUAGCGGUGGAAUGCGUAGAUAUCGGGAAGAACACCAGUGGCGAAGGCGGUCUGCUGGGCCGUCGCUGACGCUGAGGCGCGACAGCGUGGGGAGCAAACAGGAUUAGAUACCCUGGUAGUCCACGCCCGUAAACGAUGGGUACUAGGCGUCGGGGGGAGCGACCCCUUCGGUGCCGUCGCUAACGCAGUAAGUACCCCCGCCUGGGGAGUACGGCCGCAAGGCUG
rnacentral:rRNA from 1 species